CCUUCAGUUUUGAGUUAAUAUGUCAGCCACCUUAUAUCAUGCAAGUGUUUGUUUAUUACUAGGAAGAUCAAAAUACCAACUGAUCAGCAAGAAAAAACAUAUAAAAAUGUAAUGAGUAACACUAAAACUCUAGCAGUGAUACUGAGGAUCACAAGAGGAUCAACUGAAAGUAUGCUUGUGGGAGAAAUUGCAAAACAAGUCCGGAAGAAUAAGAGAUAUUACAAUCUCAUUGACACAACACUCUGGGAGGGAUAGUUUGGGGAGACUCUCAACAAGCUGUAAAGGUUGAGAGAUUUUAGAAUUUCGUUAUUUCAAUAGAAUGCCACGAGGCCUUUUACGCAUAUCAUCCAUUCCUUUGAUUGAACGAGAAAAAACUGAGCAAGGGCCGCCAUAUGAGAAUCAAAUUCACAGUUAUUCUAAAAGCAUUUGUGAGAAUCCAAGUUGGAGGUAUAUAGGUAAGAUUAGUAUGAUACUAAUAAAAGGUGUUGUGGGUCAUUAACUAUUGGUCUGUUGGAUAUAAAUAAUGGGAGUUAUGGACCAUAGAGCGUGUAGAUGAUUUUGGUGAAAGCUUCCAUUGGGAGACUUUGGGAGAGAGAUAGCCCUCUCGAAAAGCUAUUGGAGGAAAAACAAGUUUGAGUCAAGAUUUACCCCUUAAGCAUGAUGCUAGACUUCCAUUAGCCAUAUAAGGAUAGACAAGCAAUCGUUCAGUUGGUGACAUGCAAAAUCCAUUAAGACGGAGUAGAUUACGGUGGACAGCCAUGCUGAUCAUCUCUACUUCAGCCUGAAAUUGAAGCUCUCCAACCUCAGCUCGCUCCUCUUUCAAUCGUUUUACAGCCACAAGAGAACCAUCAGCCAAACGACCCUUAUAGACCUUGCCAAAUCCACCUUUGCCUAAAAUGUUCUGUGGGCUAAAAUAAUCAGUGGCAACUUGCAGCUCGCGUAGAGAAUAUUUUUUUAGCUGCCCCAGGUUAAUUUCAGGAUCUUCUUCAGCUACAUGUACACGUUAAUGUAAUCAAUCAAGUGUGGCAUAGAAACAAGAAAUACUGCACAUACUAAUAAGAAAUCUUCUAGUUAACCAACCAGGUACAUCAAAGAAAUGUUGCUGUGGAGUUCUUUGUCGCCAAAGAGUAAAUGCAAUAGCAGGCACAAGUACCAACAAAGAAGCAGCAGCAACAAUUGCUCCAACUUGAUUCCAUUAGGUCCAUCACCUCAAGUAAAAAAAAUGUUGAAUGAUCAAUCCAAGUCCUUUGGAAGAAGUAAAUUCCAUUUAAAAUAACAAUAAUAAAUACUAACUUUGAGAAGAAGUUUGAAUCAGCAGAGCUCCUAAUUUUGAGAGGAUAAAAUAUGUUGUUGAUCUGUGCAUUAGGAAUUGGAGUCAAAGAUUCAAGCCCAAAAUUUUGGCUCAAUUUCAUUUCUGGUAGGAAUAAAUGGUAUGUGACCAUUCGUAUAGAGUUGCAUUGUUUUAUGAAUGAACAUGUAUUUUCGAAAAUAACCAAUUUGAAGAAAACACGCAAAUGUUCGAAUAA